rnacentral:tRNA from 1 species
GAAAUAUGUAAUUCAAAAUGAAACUUCUAAUUUCAACUUUAAGCGAUGAAACUUCGUUUAUAUUUCU